UAUACUAAGACUAACAUUUCUCCUAAUAUUACAGUGUGCAGAGCUUGGAAUACCACACGGAGGGGGGUGAAGGAGCCUUGGGAAUCCCUGAAGGAGGGAGAGCGAAGGAGGGAGGCUUGGAGGUGAAGGAAAUGCAGAAAAUUCCUCUAAUAUUGAACGCUUCUCUGCUCAGACCAUCCUUCAUUGAAUAUUUGAGCUGAGGCUUCGAGAUACGAGUGUGCAGAGCUUGGGAUACCACACGGAGGGGGGUGAAGGAGCCUUGGGGAUGCCUGAAGGAGGGAGGCUUGGAGGUGAAGAAAAUGGAAAAAAAUUCCUCUAAUACUGAAUGCUUCUCUGCUCAGACCUUCCUUCAUUGAAUAUUUGAGCUGAGGCUUCGAGAUACGAGGGUGCAGAGCUUGGGAUACCACACGGAGGGGGUGAAGGAGCCUUGGGGAUGCCUGAAGUAGGGGCAGUGAAGGAGGGAGGCCUGGAGGUGAAGGAAAUGCAGAAAAUUCCUUGAAUACUGAGCGCUUCUCUGGUUAGACUUCACUGAAUAUUUCGACUGAGGCUUCGAGAUACGAGAUGAGAAUUCGUUUUUUAGUGUUUGAAGGCAGUUUUAUGUGGUUAUAGGUGUUUUUAGGUUGCUUUAAUGUUGUUUUGAGUAUUUUAGGUUUGUUGAAGGAAGGAGAAAGCUUAAAUAUAGUUAUAACGCCGAAAAAAAAGGCUUAAAUUGAGAGUUUUAAAGUCAGCCUAGCGUUUAUUAAAGUGUUUUAAGUAUUUUAAGUUACCAGAAGAGAGGAAGCUUAAAUUUAAUAUUACGAUAAGGAAAAAGCUUAUUUCAUGCGUUAGGAAGAAAGAAAAGGUUAACAUUAUUGACACUUUAUCAAUUUCUUUCGAUUUUAUAUUCAGUUUAUUUAUUGAUCGUUAUCUUUUAAUUUCAUUUCUUUAUUUUCUUUAUUUUUCGCUCGUUUUCAUAAUAGGAGUG